rnacentral:lncRNA from 1 species
GUAACAUCAGGUAACUUGAGUUAGACAACUCUUACACUGAUUUGUAUGUGAUGUGACCUUGGGCAACUUAUUUCAUCUCUCCAAACUUCAGUUUCAUCUAUAGAAAUGAGAACAAUGAUAAUAUGUAUCUUAUGUGAUGUGUUGAGGAUUACAUGAGAUAAUACCCCAGCACUGGCCUAUUGAAAGAAUUUAGUAUUUGUGAGCUAUGAGGAUUGUGUUAAUGGGUCCUUGAAGUGUGGGAAGAAAGAAUGAGAAAUAAGGGGGCUGGGAAAUGAUCUCUGUUAGAGCUGCAAGAUAAUUAAUUCAGAAGGCAGAGGAUUGAAGCCAGGGAAGAAGAAAAAGAAAAAGGAGAAGGAGGAGGAGGAGAAGGGCAUCCAGGAAAGGGCUAUAUUGGUACCAAACACUAAACAUCCUUGGUUUCUCUGUUCUUUGUCCUUGGAGAUAACUGCUGGAGUGGGGUAGGGUGUACUAAGGGGACUUGGUCUGUGUCAAUAGGUAUUUGUUGACAACAGGCAAGUUUCAAGCCAUUAAGAAUCUAGUUUUAUUGGCAUGUCAGGAAGGCAGCGGUUGUUCUAUUUUCCUGGCAUAGCUAUUCCAUGAGGCAGGCUGGGACUCGUCCUGUUUGCCUAAGUCUCAGUUAAGUCUCCAGGGAAAGGACAAUCAGGUGGCAUCAUUUGGAAAGCAUCUCUGACUCAGGAUAGGAAGAAGCCCACUGAGUGACUAUGACAGUGGGUCAGCUUCUCUCCUGCCCCACAUCACAGGACUCUGGCAGCUUUAUGUUUGUCAUCUUGAUAUCCUGGGGACAGACUAGCUCUUCUGGGGAAGACUGACUUAGUUGUGAUAGGAACAAGGUUGUAUGACAAAGCUGGGGUUUAAUGAUCCUAUAGGCUCCUGAACAGUCUUUUGCAAGGAGUAGCUCAACCACUGGAGAGGAAGGAGCAGGCUUUGCAUUCCUUCAGACCCAAGCUUGGGUGCUUACU